GAGGCUAAGCUAGUGGGGGAAAAGUUUCAGUGCAUUCCCUUGAUGUAGAUGGCGUGAAAACGGAAACAAGUAUGCCGGCUCACUGUGCUGCAUACAGUUACACAGUGCGUCGUACGAUUGAGACAAGGAAACUUGGAAUGACUUUUCAUAGGUUUCCCAGAGACGAUGGGUUGAGGAGGAAUUGGAAGUUUGUCGGCUUAGACCUGGUGUCAUUCCAUCAGUGUUAAACUUCCCGGCUCAUCUUGGAAGAGUACGUGCCAGAAAGACCACGACCAAGCAGCCUUGAGAUCUUAGGCAGCGUCUCCCUGAGGUCCCUCUCUAUCUCCCCACACAUCCACCAACCACUGGAACACAUCUCCAAAGUUCUGCUGGACCAGCUGAGCUUCCCCUCAGAAGAAGUGCUGCCACCUGCCAGAUGAAGGAGCCUUUUGAGAGGCAGUUGGCAUCGUGAUUGGACUGUACUUUGAUCUGUUCCAAUCCAGCUUCAGCUCCAGAGACGGCAGGCGGGACGAGUCAACGGAGGCCGGGUGGAUGAAGGCAUGCAGCUGAGUACAAUCCAGAAAACAACAGAGGAGGAGUGCAGCGGCCCAGAGCCAGAACAACCAGAGUAGCAUCAUAUGUCUCUUAGAAAACAUCAUAGUAUAGCUUUUGCUAUAAAAAAACGCCAUCAUAUACAUCGUAUAUUGUACAAAUAAGUCUAAGGAAAGAGACAUACACUGUAGAAUUGUAGUAAUUGUGGGCUGACUGAAUUACUGAUUAUCAGUAUUUUAUUUUUUACUGAUUUACGGUAAUAAAUACAUUUUAAAGUGG